GAUGAACGCUAGCUACAGGCUUAACACAUGCAAGUCGAGGGACCGGCGCACGGGUGAGUAACACGUAUCCAACCUGCCCUGUACUCGGGGCUAGCCUUUCGAAAGAAAGAUUAAUACCCGAUGUAAAGGAUGGGGAUGUGUUCCAUUAGGUUGUUGGUGAGGUAACGGCUCACCAAUCAUUCGAUGGAUAUGGGUUCUGAGAGGAAGGUCCCCCACAUUGGAACUGAGACACGGUCCAAACUCCUACGGGAUGCAGCAGUGAGGAAUAUUGGUCAAUGGGCGUUAGCCUGAACCAGCCAAGUAGCGUGAAGGAUGAAGGCUUAUGGGUCGUAAACUUCUUUUAUAUAAGAAUAUGUAUUAUAUGAAUAAGGAUCGGCUAACUCCGUGCCAGCAGCCGCGGUAAUAC
rnacentral:rRNA from 1 species